UGUAGCAUAGCAUAGUGGUUUGAGUAUUGGACUACGACUUUGAAGAUCAGGGUUCGAUUCCCAGCUCGGCCA